rnacentral:rRNA from 1 species
GACGUAGGGCGCGAGCGUUGUCCGGAUUUAUUGGGCGUAAAGAGCUCGUAGGCGGUUAGUCGCGUCUGCUGUGAAAACUCGGGGCUUAACUCCGGGCCUGCAGUGGGUACGGGCUGACUAGAGUUCGGCAGGGGAGACUGGAAUUCCUGGUGUAGCGGUGAAAUGCGCAGAUAUCAGGAGGAACACCGGUGGCGAAGGCGGGUCUCUGGGCCGAUACUGACGCUGAGGAGCGAAAGCGUGGGGAGCGAACAGG